GACUGAUUCUCCGUGCCUGCUCCUUUUAUACAAACUCAAAUAACUUCUUAAGAUACCAUCAAGAAUUGAAGGAAUAAGUUCAAGAAAUCGCACUUCGAGUCAUGGAGAUCUUAAUUAAGCAAAUGAGGUCGAAAUAUUCUGGUGUACGGCAGAGAAAUAGGGACACUCCUGGCAGGGUGAGAUUUUCUGGCGUGGAACUAGAGAUAGGAGAGCCUAACAGGGCAACCAUAGGACAGAAUGAUCCCAAUAAUUUCUGUACAGAAAAUAAUGACAGAAUGAUCCCGAUAAGCCCUCCUCGUGAAGCUCAAGAUGAGAAGAAAAGAUGGUUUAACACACAAAUGAACCAGGAAUACAAUUACUCAGAUAGUACUGAGUAUCCUUCUGCUGUUGCUGCUGCCGUAUAUGCCAUCAACUCUAUUCGGUCGAAAAAAGUCUCAGGUAAAACCA